rnacentral:rRNA from 1 species
AAGCGCACGCAGGCGGUCUGUCAAGUCGGAUGUGAAAUCCCCGGGCUCAACCUGGGAACUGCAUUCGAAACUGGCAGGCUGGAGUCUUGUAGAGGGGGGUAGAAUUCCAGGUGUAGCGGUGAAAUGCGUAGAGAUCUGGAGGAAUACCGGUGGCGAAGGCGGCCCCCUGGACAAAGACUGACGCUCAGGUGCGAAAGCGUGGGGAGCAAACAGGAUUAGAUACCCUGGUAGUCCACGCUGUAAACGAUGUCGACUUGGAGGUUGUUCCCUUGAGGAGUGGCUUCCGGAGCUAACGCGUUAAGUCGACCGCCUGGGGAGUACGGCCGCAAGGUUAAAACUCAAAUGAAUUGACGGGGGCCCGCACAAGCGGUGGAGCAUGUGGUUUAAUUCGAUGCAACGCGAAGAACCUUACCUACUCUUGACAUCCAGAGAACUUAGCAGAGAUGCUUUGGUGCCUUCGGGAACUCUGAGACAGGUGCUGCAUGGCUGUCGUCAGCUCGUGUUGUGAAAUGUUGGGUUAAGUCCCGCAACGAGCGCAACCCUUAUCCUUUGUUGCCAGCGGUCCGGUCGGGAACUCAAAGGAGACUGCCAGUGAUAAACUGGAGGAAGGUGGGGAUGACAUCUAGUCAUCAUGGGCCCUUACGAGUAUGGCUACACACGUGCUACAAUGGCGUAUACAAAGAGAAGCGACCUCUCGAGAGCAAGCGGACCUCAUAAAG